UACCAGCACCCCGAGUGGUCGGGACGAUUAUUGGGCCUAAAGCAUUCGUAGCCGGUUUUACAAGUCCCCCGUUAAAUCCAGCUGCUUAACAGAUGGGCUGCGGAGGAUACUAUAAGACUAGGAGGCAGGAGAGGCAAGCGGUACUCAGUGGGUAGGGGUAAAAUCCGUUGAUCCAUUGAAGACCACCAGUGGCGAAGGCGGCUUGCCAGAAUGCGCUCGACGGUGAGGGAUGAAAGCUGGGGGAGCAAACCGG
rnacentral:rRNA from 1 species